UACAGAGGGUGCAAGCGUUAAUCGGAGUUACUGGGCGUAAAGGGCGCGUAGGUGGUUGUGUAAGUGAGAUGUGAAAUCCCUGGGCUUAACCUAGGAACUGCAUCUUAUACUGCAUAACUGGAGUACUGUAGAGGGUAGUGGAAUUCCCAGUGUAGAGGUGAAAUUCGUAGAUAUUGGGAAGAACACCAGUGGCGAAGGCGGCUCUCUGGACCGAUACUGACGCUGAGGCGCGAAAGCGUGGGGAGCAAACAGG
rnacentral:rRNA from 1 species